rnacentral:rRNA from 1 species
UACGUAGGGUGCAAACGUUGUUCGGAAUCAUUGGGCGUAAAGCGCACGUAGGCGGCCUGUUAAGUCGGAUGUGAAAGCCCCGGGCUCAACCCGGGAAGUGCAUUCGAAACUGGCGGGCUUGAAUAUGGAAGAGGGGCGCGGAAUUCCCGGUGUAGAGGUGAAAUUCGUAGAUAUCGGGAGGAACACCGGUGGCGAAGGCGGCAUCCUGGACCGAUACUGACGCUGAGGAGCGAAAGCCAGGGGAGCAAACGGG